ACAGAUGGCCUGGAUCAGUGCAAUGUGCAACAAGAGGACUAUAUCGUCUCAGUAAAAACCUUGAAGAGAUGAACCCAUUUCAGAGACCCAGCAAGGGAUCACCUGCAUAUACAGGCAUCAGCAGAAACAGGAAUUUGGGAUUUAUCCUGGAGGUAGUGGAAGCUUUUGGAGGUCUUAACCAGGACAGCACAUGUGGCUUUCCUGCAAUGGGAUCGUCCUUCAAGAGGACCUCACAGGCUCUCCACCCGGACUGUGACGUAAGCAGCUGCAGCAGCCUUGGAUGUUUCUGGAUAGCCAGCCCCAUGAGAACAGCUUUAAAAUAGGAGACUGGCAUUGUGAUGAAGUGUGGACUUCGCUGUCAUAUAGACCUGGAUUUAAAUCCUGGCUUCAGUGUUUAUGGAUGACGUUGGACAAGUCAUUUAACCUCCUUAAGUCUCAGAGUUCUCAUUACGGAAAUGGAGCUCUUAAUAGUACCUACCCCCUAGUGUGGUUGUGAGGGUUGAGAUCAUCUAUGUUCAAAGUGCUUAUUAUACAGAGACGGGGACAUGUAAGUGCUACAUAAAUGUUAGCUUUUAUUAGUCACUGGAGUGGAGGAGAGAGGACUGUUGCCUCCUUGUCAAUGUCCCCAUCCUGGGAAGCCUGCCUGUGUGCACCAAGGCCCAUCUGACCCAUAUAUCAGAAAAGGUGCCCUUCUAGGGAGCGACACCCCCCACCAAGCCCCCCAGUCGCUGUCCAUGCUUUCCUCUAGGUUCAAAAUGCAGCUGCAUCUGUGCAGAAACCAGGUGUUGCCUGUGAGUUCUGCCUCGCUGGCCAGAGGUGGAAGGAAGGAGGAAAGGAGAGGGGCCUCCAUACUUCCAGAGCCCCACUGGGGGUUACCUUCGCUUGCCCCCACUCUUUUUGUCUUGCUCUGAGGAUGCCAGGACUUUAAGGACAUUGUCAGCGAGCACAGAAAGAAUCUCAGUCAUCUGGACUGCUUUGUGCUAUAUGAAAAUCUCUGAGAACCUUCAAGAGCCCAAAAACAGUUCUCCUCCAUGCUGUAUGCCAUGGUCAGUGGUUAAAGAGAACAUUUUGUUCCACUCCUCCAGCUCUGCCUUAGAAACCCAAGCCCUGCACUCCAAGGCUCCUGGCAUCGUACACCAGCACCAGCAAUUUUCUGCCAAAAGCAUCAGCCAAAAUCUAUUCUAUCUAUUUCAGUUCCUCUCUUUUCAUCGGAUUGUAUUUUUACAGGUGAUUGCUGAUUCUCACACUGCUCUUCAGAUUCAUGUACAGCUGUGGUCUGAAUGUGUGUGUUUUCUCAAAAUUCAAGUUUAAAACUUAAUCCUCAAUGUGAUAGUAUCAACAGCUGCGGCCUUUUGGAAAGUGAAGGUGGAGCCCUCGUGAGUGGGAUUAGAGCUCUUAUAAAAGAGAUUGAAGGGAGCUACCUAGCCCUUCCAUCUCUUCUGCCUUGUGAGGACACAGUGUUCAUCCCUUUUGUCUUCCCACCAUUUGAAGAUGCAGAAAGAAGGUGCCAUCUUGGAAGCAAAGAGCAGCCCUCACCAGACACCAAGUCUGCUGGCACCUUGAUCUUGGACUUCCCAGCCUCCAGGACUGUGAGAAAUGAAUUUCUGUUGUUUAUAAAUUACCUAGUCUAAGGUAUGCUGUUACAGUAGCAGGAAUGGACUAAGACACACAUUGUCAAAAUCUUCAUGAGUUAAAGGUGAAGGUACAAUCAGAACUGGUGCAUGGAAUUGGAACCAUAGGUCUUAGUAAACACUGUAAAAAUGCACUAUUCAAAUCUACAGAAAAUGCUCUCUCUUCAAGUUCAGAAAGAAGCUACAAUCUGCUUUUCCUUUUUUUCUGAAGAUGUGGGGAACGAAAUUGGAUCUUGUGCUUUUGGGUGCUAACUUUGAGCCCUCUUCCUUUACAUCUAAAUGACAAUUUGUGGAUCAAUGAGGAUGUGUCAACUAGCCAAGAUCGAGGACCUGGAGGGGUGCUCUGUGGAAACUGCUUUAAAAUCCUUCAGAGGGUGGGCACGGAGCUCUGGUUCUGGUUGAAGAGUCCUGUCAAGGCCAUCUCAAAAGGAGAAGCAAAGCCUGCAGAGGAGGCCAGCCUGAGUCCUGGGGUGCGAACGGGUGCUGCGCUCAGCAUGAGGAGGAGGAGACCCUGGCCACAGUUCCAUGAAUCUUUGCUCCCUUCCACAUUAUGGAUUCUGGCUAAGAAGAUUUUCAUCUUUCACCACCUGUUCUGGAUUCUUGGAACAGGUAAAUUCAUUGGCCUACGCAAGUCUGAGCUCUAGGUCUGAACCCGCAUGGACCUGAGGGUGCACCGAGAAAAGAAAGGCUGACAACUGGAUCCCGGGAAUGUCAAGGCCACCCUGGGCUUGAAGGGACCGGCCAUGCCUCCAAGCCUUGCCCAGAGAGGGGGUUCAGGAUGCUGCGUGGUUCCAGGUGAUCUAUUGCUUUCUCGAGUUUAAAGUUCAGAGGAUCAUGAAGUACCACAGCUGGAAGGGGUGUAAGUGACACUGCCUAGCCUAACUCUCUUAAAAAUCAUAGCCCUACUCCUGCCUCCCCAAAUCAGAUACGACAGGCAUAGGCUCUGACUGUUCCUUAAGUCUUAGUGGCAAUACUCCCUGACCAGUUUUGCGGGGUUGCUCCCAGUUCCAUUGCUUUUGUAACAGGUGGCCAGAAAGCCUGGG
rnacentral:lncRNA from 1 species